AACGCACAUUGCGCCCCCUGGUAUUCCGGGGGGCAUGCCUGUUCGAGCGUCAUUACAACCCUCAAGCUCUGCUUGGUAUUGGGUGUCACCCCCGGGUGCGCCUUAAAAUCAGUGGCGGUGCCGUCUGGCUUCAAGCGUAGUAAUACUUCUCGCUUUGGAGUCCGGGCGAGCGUCCUGCCAAAACCCCCAUAUUUUUUCAGGUUGACCUCGGAUCAGGUAGGGAUACCCGCUGAACUUAA
rnacentral:misc_RNA from 1 species